UACGUAGGCAGCGAGCGUUGUUCGGAGUUACUGGGCGUAAAGGGUGUGUAGGCGGUUCUUUAAGUUUGGUGUGAAAUCUCCCGGCUCAACCGGGAGGGUGCGCCGAAUACUGAGGGACUCGAGUGCGGGAGAGGAAAGUGGAAUUCCUGGUGUAGCGGUGAAAUGCGUAGAUAUCAGGAGGAACACCGGUGGUGUAGACGGCUUUCUGGACCGUAACUGACGCUGAGACACGAAAGCGUGGGUAGCAAACAGG
rnacentral:rRNA from 1 species